rnacentral:rRNA from 1 species
AGAGUUGAUCAUGGCUCAGGAUGAACGCUGGCGGCGUGCCUAACACAUGCAAGUCGAACGAAGCAUACGGACUGGAGAUUCGUCGAAGGACCGUAUGACUUAGUGGCGGACGGGUGAGUAAUGUAUGAGCAACCUGCCUUUCAGAGGGGGACAACAGUUGGAAACGACUGCUAAUACCGCGUAACGUAUCGUGGGGGCAUCCUCGUGAUACCAAAGGAGCAAUCCGCUGAAAGAUGGGCUCAUAUCUGAUUAGCUUAUUGGCGGGGUAACGGCCCACCAAGGCGACGAUCAGUAGCCGGACUGAGAGGUUGAACGGCCACAUUGGGACUGAGAUACGGCCCAGACUCCUACGGGAGGCAGCAGUGGGGAAUAUUGGGCAAUGGGCGAAAGCCUGGCCCAGCAACGCCGCGUGAAGGAAGAAGGUCUUCGGAUUGUAAACUUCUUUUAUGAGGGACGAAGGACGUGACGGUACCUCAUGAAUAAGCCACGGCUAACUACGUGCCAGCCGCAGC